rnacentral:rRNA from 1 species
CCUACGGGAGGCAGCAGUAGGGAAUCUUCCGCAAUGGACGAAAGUCUGACGGAGCAACGCCGCGUGAACGAUGAAGGCCUUCGGGUCGUAAAGUUCUGUUGUUAGGGAAGAACAAGUGCUAGUUGAAUAAGCUGGCACCUUGACGGUACCUAACCAGAAAGCCACGGCUAACUACGUGCCAGCAGCCGCGGUAAUACGUAGGUGGCAAGCGUUGUCCGGAAUUAUUGGGCGUAAAGCGCGCGCAGGCGGUUUCUUAAGUCUGAUGUGAAAGCCCCCGGCUCAACCGGGGUAGGGUCAUUGGAAACUGGGAAACUUGAGUGCAGAAGAGGAAAGUGGAAUUCCAAGUGUAGCGGUGAAAUGCGUAGAGAUUUGGAGGAACACCAGUGGCGAAGGCGACUUUCUGGUCUGUAACUGACGCUGAGGCGCGAAAGCGUGGGGAGCAAACAGGAUUAGAUACCCUGGUAGUCCACGGCUGUAAACCGAUGAGUGCUAAGUGUUAGAGGGUUUCCGCCCUUUAGUGCUGAAGUUAACGCAUUAAGCACUCCGCCUGGGGAAAUCGGUCGCAGACUGAAACUCAAAUGAAUUGACGGCNGAGAGNGCGACGACGACGACGAGGGAGAGG